GCGGCAAAGCAACGCUACACUUCUCCUCUCUCUGAUUUUCAAAAAUCCCUCCAGCCUAGCAUUCACGUAAUCUCUCUCUUGAUUAGGGUUUCCAAUUUUUUCGAUCGCAUCCAACAUCGGAGUUUUGGAAGUCAAAAUCGCAACCGCAAAUUUAAUUCCGAUGACGACCAUCACCACUGUUUCUUCUCCCUUUUUCUUGUUAGAGACUCCUCCGUCUCCACCUAGGAUCCUCGUCGUUUCUGUCGAACACUGUUACCGCAUGAUUCCUCGCAACUGACUUUUAGAUUUCAAUAUUUUUAGUUCUUCUUCAAAUUUCGCUACUCCAUCAAUAAAGAUUGUUGCUUCUUCUUCUCCAUCUUUUCUGUUGGAGACUCCUCCGACCCCACCGAGGAUCGUUGCCGUUUUCGUUGAAGACGAUUAUCGUUGAUACCUCAAGAUCUGCAUUCCGCUUUCAAUGAUUCCGCUUCCUCUUCCUCUUCCUCUUCCUCUUCCUCUUCCUCUGAGGAGUCGUUUUCUCGUAGAAGAAGGCGAAAUUUUAUUGAAUCUAUUCUCAGGAGAACGAAGCUUCGUCUUGAUAAAUAGAGAGCGCGGGCAAAAUCUCAAACUCAACCACAAGAGGAAAUUUCGCAUUCUCAUGUCCAUGAGGCCUCCCAGAAAAUAAAAGCAUGUUUCUUCCUUGAAAAGAAUUCCUCUCACGUAUUAUUUGGAGAAUGGUAUAGGUGCCUCCCUGUGGGUAAUGUUUCUCAGGUUUCUCUUUGGUUUUGGUCAAUCAAUGGAAACAACAAGUCGAAUGAUGUAGAAUCUACAUGGACCAAGAUGUUAUAAGCGGCAGAUACAUAUGCCAGCCCUCCGUUCUGUUCCAAGAUGAAUGGAUAUUAUUGAUAAAACAGAUUUGUAGAUGUUGUACUUCUGGAGUCAGGGGACCCUCCAUCAAGUUCAAGUUUCAUUCUCUUGGUGGGUUUGAGAUGUUAAAUAUGCAUCAUCUGCUGGCACCUUUAUUACAGGUUUGAAGACAUGCAGCUACACCAUUAUCUGUGAGGUUGUGCUUUCUCUCCGACAGAACAUAUGCAUAUCCUUCAAUUCCUUGUGCCAGAGUAAGGAAAUGAAUACAGAAGCUGCUAAAGCCUCGGAAAUUCAAUUGGUCAAAGCAUAUUUGGCACUGCUCUACUCCAGGGAAUACUCUGUGAGGUCGUGCUUUCUAUCCGACAGAACAUAUGCAUAUCCUUCAAUUCCUUGUGCCAGAGUAAGGAAAUGAAUACAGAAGCUGCUAAAGCCUCGGAAAUUCAAUUGGUCAAAGCAUAUUUGGCACUGCUCUACUCCAUGGAAUACUCUGUGAGGUCGUGCUUUCUCCCCGACAGAACAUAUGCAUAUCCUUCAAUUCCUUGUGCCAGAGUAAGGAAAUGAAUACAGAAGCUGCUAAAGCCUCGGAAAUUCAAAGAUCUUUCUGGUCAUUAUUGAAUGGAAGUGGUUAUUCACACAAAGGAAUGAGACUUUCAAAAAGGGAAUGGCUACUUUUGAGCGUGUAUGACUGCAUCUUUCUCCACUAGUAGGAACUCCUUUCUCUGUGUUCCAAGGGCCUGGGUCUCUUAUGCAUGGGAGUGCAAAUCACAUUUCGCAUCUCUUGUGGAUGACAAGGGAUGCUCUUAGUCUAGUGAAAUUCUAAUGCAGAAAAAAUUCACCAUCAGAACAAGCUAUUACACCACCCUAAUAUAUAUAUAUAUUAGGUUGUGUGUUUUGUUUUCUUUUUCUUUGAAGAAAACCAAAAAUAAUCUUGAUUAUCAAUUUGAAUA